UACGAAGGGGGCUAGCGUUGUUCGGAAUUACUGGGCGUAAAGCGCACGUAGGCGGAUACUUAAGUUAGGGGUGAAAUCCCCAGGGCUCAACCCUGGAACUGCCUCUAAUACUGGGUAUCUUGAGUUCGAGAGAGGUGAGUGGAAUUCCGAGUGUAGAGGUGAAAUUCGUAGAUAUUCGGAGGAACACCAGUGGCGAAGGCGGCUCACUGGCUCGAUACUGACGCUGAGGUGCGAAAGCGUGGGGAGCAAACAGG
rnacentral:rRNA from 1 species